CCAGACAGCCAGGAUGUUGGCUUAGAAGCAGCCAUCAUUUAAAGAAAGCGUAAUAGCUCACUGGUCGAGUCGGCCUGCGCGGAAGAUGUAACGGGGCUAAACCAUGCACCGAAGCUGCGGCAGCGACGCUUAUGCGUUGUUGGGUAGGGGAGCGUUCUGUAAGCCUGCGAAGGUGUGCUGUGAGGCAUGCUGGAGGUAUCAGAAGUGCGAAUGCUGACAUAAGUAACGAUAAAGCGGGUGAAAAGCCCGCUCGCCGGAAGACCAAGGGUUCCUGUCCAACGUUAAUCGGGGCAGGGUGAGUCGACCCCUAAGG
rnacentral:rRNA from 1 species